UCGAUGAACGUAAUAAUUGUGGAGCAU
rnacentral:piRNA from 1 species